ensembl:misc_RNA 7SK 7SK RNA
AGAAUGAUCUGGAUGUGAUAUAUGUCUACCCAUUGAUGGCCAUAGUUGAUGGGGCUGAUCUGUGUGGCUAGGUGGGUGUUUCUUACCCCUCU